GGAUUACACGUCGGACACUUCCCAAGUGUCUAGGACUGUGUGAUGUAUCGGCGAAUAAUGCGUGCAGAUCCCAAUAAGGUGGCCUUCUGCAGCUAGCCGGUGGUAAUUUUGUCAGCGCCGAUUGUGUUUAAGUGCAGGCCAAGGUCUUUAGGCCCUGCACCCAGUGUGCUGAUUACCACUGGGACCACCUUGACUGGCUUGUGCCACAGUCUUUGCAAUUCGAUCUUUAAAUCCUCAUAUCGUGUCAGCUUUUCCAGUUGUUUCUCUUCAAUCCUGCUGUCACCUGGGAUUACAACAUCAACAAUCCAUACUUUGUUUUUUAACACAAUCAUGAGGUCAGGAGUAUUGUGUUCCAAACCCUGUCUGUCUGAAUUCAGAAGUUUUAUUUAUUUAUUUAUUUAUUUAUUUACAGUAUUUAUAUUCCGCCCUUCUCACCCCGAAGGGGACUCAGGGCGGAUCACAUUAUAACACACAUUGUCAAGAGUCAGAUGCCAAUUAGUGAAAAAAAAAUAGAGUUUAUUCAGCAGAUAAGCCAAAAAGUAAUGUUAACACAGAAAAAACCUUGAAAUACUUCACUAUCAGUGCUUCAAGAGCAGUUCAAAUAAAAAUAUAAUUCAGCAACACAAGCAGGUAAAAACAAAGCUAAACAAACUUAGUGCAAACUGCACUUUCUGAGUCCAAGCCCUGCCAGCCGGCUCUGUAGUUUUCAAAGGAACAGUUCCCAAAAGGAAACACCAAAUUGGUCAGGAAACAAACAAACAAAUUAAGAAUGCAGUAGACUGCUUCCACAAUGUGGAUAAAGCCGAAGGCUCCAAAAGGAUGGUGAAAAGACGUCGUCCGGGAUUCCAAGGUCAGGUCAGGAGAUAACAGCGGUGUCCAAAGAGCAAGCCAGGAGUCAAAAGCCGAUAGUAGUCAUCAAUCACAGGGUGAAGGCAGUAGCAAGGUCAAAUUCCGAUCCAAGGUCUGAAGAGGGUGCAGUCAUCCAAAACAGGUCCACGAUAAGACACAGCGAGAGCCAAGCUAGGUGAUAACAGCAGAUUCAAAUCAUAGUCCAAGUCCAAUCUUCAUGGAAACACAGAGAUCCCAAUGGCGCCUCAGCAACACCUUGCCACACGCAAAGUGUUGCUGAGGCGCCAUUGGGAUCUCUGUGUUUCCAUGAAGACUGGACUUGGACUAUGAUUUGAAUCUGCUGAUAUCACCUAGCUUGGCUCUCGCUGUGUCUUAUCGUGGACCUGUUUUGGAUGACUGCACCCUCUUUGGACUUUGGAUUGAAUUUGACCUGGCUUCUGUCUACACCCUCUGACUGACGGCUACUCCCGGCUUCUGACUAUUGGUUUGUCUUUCGGAAUUUCUGCUGCCUCCUGACCUGACCUUGGAUUCCUCUGACGACGGCUAUUCAUCAUCCCUUUGAGGCUUUCGGCUUAUCUGCACCGUGGAAGCAGCUUUAUUGCUUUUCUAGUUUGUUUAUUUUCCAGCAAUUAACUCUAUUUGUUUUCCAAAGCUGAAUUGAAGCGUUAUUUAGUUUUUUAUUGAAUGCCAGCAUGGGAAAUUAGCGUGGCUCAUUUCUUGAGUUAUUAUUGUCCAAUCUACUCUCGAAACACUGAAAAGUGAAGUGUUUCAAGGAUAUUUCCUGUGUUUAUGUUAUUUUCUGGCUUAUCUUCGGAAUAAACUCUGUUUUGUAUGUUAA